rnacentral:rRNA from 1 species
UACGAAGGGGGCUAGCGUUGUUCGGAAUUACUGGGCGUAAAGCGCGCGUAGGCGGACGCUUAAGUCAGGGGUGAAAUCCCGGGGCUCAACCCCGGAACUGCCUCUGAUACUGGACGUCUCGAGUGCAGGAGAGGUGAGUGGAAUUGCGAGUGUAGAGGUGAAAUUCGUAGAUAUUCGCAAGAACACCAGUGGCGAAGGCGGCUCACUGGCCUGUAACUGACGCUGAUGCGCGAAAGCGUGGGGAGCAAACAGG